rnacentral:rRNA from 1 species
UUAAGCGACUAAGCGUACACGGUGGAUGCCCUGGCAGUCAGAGGCGAUGAAGGACGUGCUAAUCUGCGAAAAGCGUCGGUAAGGUGAUAUGAACCGUUACAGCCGGCGAUGUCCGAAUGGGGAAACCCAGUGCAAUUCGUUGCACUAUCGUUAACUGAAUACAUAGGUUAACGAGGCGAACCGGGGGAACUGAAACAUCUAAGUACCCCGAGGAAAAGAAAUCAACCGAGAUUCCCCCAGUAGCGGCGAGCGAACGGGGAGCAGCCCAGAGUCUGAAUCAGCUUGUGUGUUAGUGGAACGGUCUGGAAAGUCCGACGGUACAGGGUGAUAGUCCCGUACACCAAAAUGCACAGGCUGUGAACUCGAAGAGUAGGGCGGGACACGUGGUAUCCUGUCUGAAUAUGGGGGGACCAUCCUCCAAGGCUAAAUACUCCUGACUGACCGAUAGUGAACCAGUACCGUGAGGGAAAGGCGAAAAGAACCCCGGCGAGGGGAGUGAAAAAGAACCUGAAACCGUGUACGUACAAGCAGUGGGAGCACCUUCGGGUGUGACUGCGUACCUUUUGUAUAAUGGGUCAGCGACUUAUAUUCUGUAGCAAGGUUAACCGUAUAGGGGAGCCGCAGGGAAACCGAGUCUUAACUGGGCGUUAAGUUGCAGGGUAUAGACCCGAAACCCGGUGAUCUAGCCAUGGGCAGGUUGAAGGUUGGGUAACACUAACUGGAGGACCGAACCGACUAAUGUUGAAAAAUUAGCGGAUGACUUGUGGCUGGGGGUGAAAGGCCAAUCAAACCGGGAGAUAGCUGGUUCUCCCCGAAAGCUAUUUAGGUAGCGCCUCGUGAACUCAUCUUCGGGGGUAGAGCACUGUUUCGGCUAGGGGGUCAUCCCGACUUACCAACCCGAUGCAAACUACGAAUACCGAAGAAUGUUAUCACGGGAGACACACGGCGGGUGCUAACGUCCGUCGUGAAGAGGGAAACAACCCAGACCGCCAGCUAAGGUCCCAAAGUCAUGGUUAAGUGGGAAACGAUGUGGGAAGGCACAGACAGCCAGGAUGUUGGCUUAGAAGCAGCCAUCAUUUAAAGAAAGCGUAAUAGCUCACUGGUCGAGUCGGCCUGCGCGGAAGAUGUAACGGGGCUAAACCAUGCACCGAAGCUGCGGCAGCGACACUAUGUGUUGUUGGGUAGGGGAGCGUUCUGUAAGCCUGCGAAGGUGUGCUGUGAGGCAUGCUGGAGGUAUCAGAAGUGCGAAUGCUGACAUAAGUAACGAUAAAGCGGGUGAAAAGCCCGCUCGCCGGAAGACCAAGGGUUCCUGUCCAACGUUAAUCGGGGCAGGGUGAGUCGACCCCUAAGGCGAGGCCGAAAGGCGUAGUCGAUGGGAAACAGGUUAAUAUUCCUGUACUUGGUGUUACUGCGAAGGGGGGACGGAGAAGGCUAUGUUAGCCGGGCGACGGUUGUCCCGGUUUAAGCAUGUAGGCUGGUUAUCCAGGCAAAUCCGGAUAAUCAAGGCUGAGGUGUGAUGACGAGGCACUACGGUGCUGAAGUAACAAAUGCCCUGCUUCCAGGAAAAGCCUCUAAGCAUCAGGUAACAUUAAAUCGUACCCCAAACCGACACAGGUGGUCAGGUAGAGAAUACCAAGGCGCUUGAGAGAACUCGGGUGAAGGAACUAGGCAAAAUGGUGCCGUAACUUCGGGAGAAGGCACGCUGGUGUGUAGGUGAAGUCCCUGCGGAUGGAGCUGAGACCAGUCGAAGAUACCAGCUGGCUGCAACUGUUUAUUAAAAACACAGCACUGUGCAAACACGAAAGUGGACGUAUACGGUGUGACGCCUGCCCGGUGCCGGAAGGUUAAUUGAUGGGGUUAUCCGUAAGGAGAAGCUCUUGAUCGAAGCCCCGGUAAACGGCGGCCGUAACUAUAACGGUCCUAAGGUAGCGAAAUUCCUUGUCGGGUAAGUUCCGACCUGCACGAAUGGCGUAAUGAUGGCCAGGCUGUCUCCACCCGAGACUCAGUGAAAUUGAACUCGCUGUGAAGAUGCAGUGUACCCGCGGCAAGACGGAAAGACCCCGUGAACCUUUACUAUAGCUUGACACUGAACAUUGAGCCUUGAUGUGUAGGAUAGGUGGGAGGCUUUGAAGCGUGGACGCCAGUCUGCGUGGAGCCAACCUUGAAAUACCACCCUUUAAUGUUUGAUGUUCUAACGUUGGCCCCUGACCGGGGUUGCGGACAGUGUCUGGUGGGUAGUUUGACUGGGGCGGUCUCCUCCCAAAGCGUAACGGAGGAGCACGAAGGUUAGCUAAUCCUGGUCGGACAUCAGGAGGUUAGUGCAAUGGCAUAAGCUAGCUUGACUGCGAGCGUGACGGCGCGAGCAGGUGCGAAAGCAGGUCAUAGUGAUCCGGUGGUUCUGAAUGGAAGGGCCAUCGCUCAACGGAUAAAAGGUACUCCGGGGAUAACAGGCUGAUACCGCCCAAGAGUUCAUAUCGACGGCGGUGUUUGGCACCUCGAUGUCGGCUCAUCACAUCCUGGGGCUGAAGUAGGUCCCAAGGGUAUGGCUGUUCGCCAUUUAAAGUGGUACGCGAGCUGGGUUUAGAACGUCGUGAGACAGUUCGGUCCCUAUCUGCCGUGGGCGCUGGAGAAUUGAGGGGGGCUGCUCCUAGUACGAGAGGACCGGAGUGGACGCAUCACUGGUGUUCGGGUUGUCAUGCCAAUGGCACUGCCCGGUAGCUAAAUGCGGAAGAGAUAAGUGCUGAAAGCAUCUAAGCACGAAACUUGCCCCGAGAUGAGUUCUCCCUGAGACUUUAAGUCUCCUGAAGGAACGUUGAAGACGACGACGUUGAUAGGCCGGGUGUGUAAGCGCAGCGAUGCGUUGAGCUAACCGGUACUAAUGAACCGUGAGGCUUAACCU